ACGAACGCUGGCGGCGUGCUUAACACAUGCAAGUCGCACGGAAAGGCCCUGCUUGCAGGGUACUCGAGUGGCGAACGGGUGAGUAACACGUGGGUGAUCUGCCCUGCACUUCGGGAUAAGCUUGGGAAACUGGGUCUAAUACCGGGUAGGAACCAUCUGUAGUGUGGUGGUUGGAAAGUUUUUUCGGUGUAGGAUGAGCUCGCGGCCUAUCAGCUUGUUGGUGGGGUAAUGGCCUACCAAGGCGGCGACGGGUAGCCGGCCUGAGAGGGUGUACGGCCACAUUGGGACUGAGAUACGGCCCAGACUCCUACGGGAGGCAGCAGUGGGGAAUAUUGCACAAUGGGCGCAAGCCUGAUGCAGCGACGCCGCGUGGGGGAUGAAGGCCUUCGGGUUGUAAACUCCUUUCGCUAGGGACGAAGCUUUUUGUGACGGUACCUAGAUAAGAAGCACCGGCUAACUACGUG
rnacentral:rRNA from 1 species